GUGAGGAAUAUUGGUCAAUGGGCGGAAGCCUGAACCAGCCAAGUCGCGUGAAGGAAGAAGGAUCUAUGGUUUGUAAACUUCUUUUGAAGGGGGAUAAAGUGGGUUACGUGUAACCCAUUGCAGGUACCCUUGGAAUAAGCAUCGGCUAACUCCGUGCCAGCAGCCGCGGUAAUACGGAGGAUGCGAGCGUUAUCCGGAUUUAUUGGGUUUAAAGGGUGCGUAGGUGGCUUUUUAAGUCAGCGGUGAAAACUGGCGGCUCAACCGCAAGAGUGCCGUUGAAACUGGGGAGCUAGAGUAUGAACGAGGUAGGCGGAAUGUGUGGUGUAGCGGUGAAAUGCAUAGAUAUCACGCAGAACUCCGAUAGCGAAGGCAGCUUACCAGGCCAUAACAGACACUGAAGCACGAAAGCGUGGGGAUCGAACAGGAUUAGAAACCCCGGUAGUCC
rnacentral:rRNA from 1 species